GGAAUGAAAGCGAGUGAUUACAAUAUACCAAAAAAGACGACACUUUUGUUGAUUGGUCCAAGAGGAUCUGGUAAAAGCAGUCUUGUAAACAAGAUCUCCAGAGUGUUUGAUGAUGAUCCUUUUACACCAGAAAGAGCUCAAGUAUCGUAUUCUUCUGAUGGAGAUGGGACAUAUUUCCUCCAUGAGUACACGAUGCCAAAAGGUUCAAGUUCUUUCUGUUUGUAUGACACACGUGGUCUGUCGGAUGAUUUGAAUGAAAAUAUUAAAAUUGUGGACCGCUGGAUGAAAAAGGGGGUUCGUCAUGGGAAGCUAAUAACCAGGGAUUCUGAUGAUGCAAAUCCGAAGUCUAAAGUUCGCCGAAAUAGAUACUGUGCCAGUGAGACCAAUGUGGUUAAUUGUGUCAUAUUUGUUGUCAGUGCGGUCCAAAUUCUACAAUCGAUGGACAGCGAUGAUGAAACAAAAAGGCAACAAACUCGAGCUGUUGCUUCAAAUUUCAACUACCCUCUCUUGUCAUUCAAAGAUGAAAAACCUAUUGUUGUGCUCACACAUGGUGAUUUACUUUCACUUUCGGAUCGUACGCGCAUCCGCAUGCAUUUGGGACAGCUGCUGGGUAUUCAUCCCAAGAAA
rnacentral:misc_RNA from 1 species